rnacentral:rRNA from 1 species
UACAGAGGUCUCAAGCGUUGUUCGGAUUCAUUGGGCGUAAAGGGUGCGUAGGCGGCGCGGUAAGUCGGGUGUGAAAUCUCGGAGCUUAACUCCGAAACUGCAUUCGAUACUGCCGUGCUUGAGGACUGGAGAGGAGACUGGAAUUUACGGUGUAGCGGUGAAAUGCGUAGAUAUCGUAAGGAAGACCAGUGGCGAAGGCGGGUCUCUGGACAGUUCCUGACGCUGAGGUGCGAAAGCGUGGGGAGCAAACAGGAU